rnacentral:rRNA from 1 species
GGGCUUGACAUCCCACGAACCUGCCCGAAAGGGUAGGGUGCCCGCAAGGGAGCGUGGAGACAGGUGGUGCAUGGCUGUCGUCAGCUCGUGUCGUGAGAUGUUGGGUUAAGUCCCGCAACGAGCGCAACCCUCACCCCUAGUUGCCACCGGGUAAUGCCGAGCACUCGAGGGGAACUGCCAGCGCCAAGCUGGAGGAAGGCGGGGAUGACGUCAAGUCAUCAUGCCCCUUACGCCCUGGGCUACACACGUGCUACAAUGGCCAGUACAAAGGGAUGCGAGACCGUAAGGUGGAGCUAAUCCCAAAAAGCUGGUCUAAGUUCAGAUUGCAGUCUGCAACUCGACUGCAUGAAGGAGGAAUCGCUAGUAAUCGCGCAUCAGCACGGCGCGGUGAAUACGUUCCCGGGCCUUGUACACACCGCCCGUCACACCACGAAAGCUGGCUGUACUCGAAGUCGCUGA